rnacentral:rRNA from 1 species
AUUGAACGCUGGCGGCAGGCCUAACACAUGCAAGUCGAACGAGUGGCGGACGGGUGAGUAAUGUCUGGGAAACUGCCCGCUGGAGGGGGAUAACUACUGGAAACGGUAGCUAAUACCGCAUACCAUCGGAUGUGCCCAGAUGGGAGUAGCUUGUAGGUGAGGUAACGGCUCACAUAGGCGACGAUCCCUAGAUGGUCUGAGAGGAUGACCAGACACACGGGAACUAAGACACGGUCGAGAAUCCGACGGGAGGCAGAAGUGGGGAAUAGUGCACAAUGGGCGCAAGCCUGAUUCAGCCAUGCCGCGUGUAUGAAGAAGGCCUUAGGGUUGUAAAGUACUGUCAGCGGGGAGGCGUUACCCGCAGAAGAAGCACCGGCUAACUCCGUGCCAGCAGCCGCGGUAAUUC